AUCCAGCGGGGCCGGGGGUGCUUACACAUGCAGUCGAACGAUGAUCCGCGUGCUUGCUGCCGGGGAUUAGUGGCGAACGGGUGAGUAACACGUGAGUAACCUGCCCUUGACUCUGGGAUAAGCCUGGGAAACUGGGUCUAAUACCGGAUACGACCAUUCCGCGCAUGCGGUGGUGGUGGAAAGCUUUUGCGGUUUUGGAUGGACUCGCGGCCUAUCAGCUUGUUGGUGGGGUAAUGGCCUACCAAGGCGACGACGGGUAGCCGGCCUGAGAGGGUGACCGGCCACACUGGGACUGAGACACGGCCCAGACUCCUACGGGAGGCAGCAGUGGGGAAUAUUGCACAAUGGGCGAAAGCCUGAUGCAGCGACGCCGCGUGAGGGAUGACGGCCUUCGGGUUGUAAACCUCUUUCAGUAGGGAAGAAGCGCAAGUGACGGUACCUGCAGAAGAAGCGCCGGCUAACUACGUGCCAGCAGCCGCGGUAAUACGUAGGGCGCAAGCGUUAUCCGGAAUUAUUGGGCGUAAAGAGCUCGUAGGCGGUUUGUCGCGUCUGCUGUGAAAGACCGGGGCUCAACUCCGGUUCUGCAGUGGGUACGGGCAGACUAGAGUGAUGUAGGGGAGACUGGAAUUCCUGGUGUAGCGGUGAAAUGCGCAGAUAUCAGGAGGAACACCGAUGGCGAAGGCAGGUCUCUGGGCAUUAACUGACGCUGAGGAGCGAAAGCAUGGGGAGCGAACAGGAUUAGAUACCCUGGUAGUCCAUGCCGUAAACGUUGGGCACUAGGUGUGGGGGACAUUCCACGUUUUCCGCGCCGUAGCUAACGCAUUAAGUGCCCCGCCUGGGGAGUACGGCCGCAAGGCUAAAACUCAAAGGAAUUGACGGGGGCCCGCACAAGCGGCGGAGCAUGCGGAUUAAUUCGAUGCAACGCGAAGAACCUUACCAAGGCUUGACAUGGACUAGUAACACGCAGAGAUGCGUG
rnacentral:rRNA from 1 species